ACAUUAUUCCCUUUUCCAUGUAGUCAACACAAGCUUGUACCAUGUACGUUCUGCGACGUUACCAAGUAAAACACGACAAUUUACCCAGUAAUUAAGCUGAAACUGUACUGUAAAAGGAAGCCUUGUUUGUUUCCAUGGUAUUACCACACAGUAAAAAAUAAAGUGUCAUUAUUGCAGAGUAAAACUAUUUUCCUCUGGAUAGAGUAGUUAUAACAAUGUACAGAGUAAAAUCGUCUAAAUAGUAGUGUCAAAAGUGAGAGUUAAGUCCAACAUGCACACAAUGACCAAAUCUACUCUACAUGGUGAUGAUUCCCCGCGAAAGUACUAGUCUGAACUGGAGCUCGAGCGGGCAGUGGCACGUUGGAAAUCGUCUCUCUCCCCACUAGCAGACCUAUCGUGAAAAUGCUGCUGCGUGUCUCGUUUGGCGGAGUGCAGAAGUACAUGAAGCUGCCUGAACUAACAUUCGGUGAUUUCUUGAGAGAAGAGGUCGACUCUGAAGUUUUUGAGGAGAUCGUACAAGAGUUCCAUGGACCUUUCCUAAUUUCAUUGGCCAAUGAAGCACCUGGUAAUUGCUGCCUACCUGCAUAAGACUACACACACAUCGUUGAAGUGGAAGUGUUGAACUAUGUAAUUGUGUUCUUAUUUCCCAAUGCUCAGGUUACCCUCAGUCCACGUCAUCUCCAUGCUCUAUUGCAUCUGAAGACACAGUGAUCCUCAACUUCUCGUUGUGUGACCCAGCUGAGGAGCCAGUUGCAGCCGAAGGAAGUCAACCUAAAAGGCCUUGCCGCAUUAACUAUGAAGCAAAAGCUCCUGGAGGUGACCGUGUCAUGGAGGAGUAUGCGAAAACGAAAUCAUUUACAGAUUCAACCAGAAGACAGCUCAUCAACAUACUUACUGCAGAGAUGACGGAAACACAUGGCACAUCGCCGCCCCGGAGUGUAAAAGUGAUGUAUGCACAGGGGAUUGUCGCUCUGUUUCCAUACCUUGAAGACCCAUAUUCACAGAAUGGCUAUGAACAUUACUACGAUCCUGAAAGUGGUUCAGGCUACAUUGCAUGGCGGUUGAAGACAAUUCAACGAAAAGCUGCUGAGGAAAGAGGUCCUGCAGUUAGUACAUCUCCUAAAGUUGGUGGGCCAGGCCAUGGGCGUACUAGACCCUUUACUGCCGACAGAGUCCUGACUGACGAGGAAGUGGAAUGCGCUAUCGCUUUGUUGAGACACACUGCUGAUGAGGAGACCAUCCGUGAAAAGAUGAAAGUCACUUUCGCAUACCGCCACGCCAUGAUAGAACAAGAUUUUAGAGCGAUGUUUGGUGAGCAGACUGCCAACAAGUUCAUGGAGAGGUGGCCUACCACUUUCAAAGCAGGAGUCAUUAAGGAAAGCCAUGGACUGGUCCCCUCCACAGACCUUCUUGAUUUAAUGCACAACGCUGAGACAUCUACUGAAGUUGAAAAAGGCUGGGACAGUGACAUGUCUGCCAUCAUACUGCUGCUACAUCUGCUACCACCAUCUGCACAGGGACGAAAGAGGCCAGGGAAGAUAUCUGCAUCUAAUGCAGUUUAUCACCUCAUCAAAUUCCAAAAG
ensembl:lncRNA